rnacentral:rRNA from 1 species
CGCAGCCGCGGUAAUACGUAGGGUGCAAGCGUUAAUCGGAAUUACUGGGCGUAAAGCGUGCGCAGGCGGUUAUAUAAGACAGAUGUGAAAUCCCCGGGCUCAACCUGGGAACUGCAUUUGUGACUGUAUAGCUAGAGUACGGCAGAGGGGGAUGGAAUUCCGCGUGUAGCAGUGAAAUGCGUAGAUAUGCGGAGGAACACCGAUGGCGAAGGCAAUCCCCUGGGCCUGUACUGACGCUCAUGCACGAAAGCGUGGGGAGCAAACAGGAUUAGAUACCCCUGUAGUCCCUGUCUCUUAUCAC